CUAUAAAUAAAGCUCAACUCUUUACCUAAAAAAAUCAUGAAAUAAAACCUUUACUCCAACGUUGCAGUGAAAAAAGAAAAAAAAAGGAGCAACCCAUGUGCAGCUGGAAGCAAAAUCUUCAAGGGAGUAAAAUAAACCUUUUAAUUUUAGUCUUAUAUUUUAUCUUGAAUAUUUUUUUAUUUAUCUUUGAUGUAAUUAGAAAAAUUUAUAAGCUCUUUCUUUUGAUUAAUAUGAUGUUUGCUUUCAAGUUCUUGUACUCUAUGCUUAUGUAGUUA
rnacentral:lncRNA from 1 species